AGUGAACGCUGGCGGUAGACCUAACACAUGCAAGUCGAACGGCAGCACAGUAAGAGCUUGCUCUUACGGGUUGCGAGUGGCGGACGGGUGAGGAAUACAUCGGAAUCUACUUUUUCGUGGGGGAUAACGUAGGGAAACUUACGCUAAUACCGCAUACGACCUACGGUUGAAAGCAGGGGAUCUUCGGACCUUGCGCGAUUGAAUGAGCCGAUGUCGGAUUAGCUAGUUGGCGGGGUAAAGGCCCACCAAGGCGACGAUCCGUAGCUGGUCUGAGAGGAUGAUCAGCCACACUGGAGCUGAGACACGGUCCAGACUCCUACGGGAGGCAGCAGUGGGGAAUAUUGGACAAUGGGCGCAAGCCUGAUCCAGCCAUACCGAGUGGGUGAAGAAGGCCUUCGGGUUGUAAAGACCUUUUGUUGGGAAAGAAAAGCAGCAGGUUAAUACCCAGCUGUUCUGACGGUACCCAAAGAAUAAGCACCGGCUAACUUCGUG
rnacentral:rRNA from 1 species